UUGAAGCAACCCUACCAUUUGGUGAGUGGUGAGUUUUUAUUAGCUGCUGCUGUUUGUCUGUGCCAGAAAUAAUUAAAUAAAAUAUUUAUAAAAAACGUUUAAAAUACAUUAAAUCAACAUAUUACCCGAAAAAAUCUGAAAUAUUAGGUGGCUUUUAAAUAUCGGGGAAACAGGUUACAGUUAUAUCGUGGGAUUACCAAAUUCUGCUAUAUUAAUAUACAAUUUUGAAGGUUUACAUCGCCUAAAUUUAUGAACAAGAAAUUGUCAAAAUCUAGGUAAGUACAUAAACGUCGUCAGGCAUGUCUCCGUAAGUGCCAUUACCUCCAUGGCUUAUUUACAAUAUAUUUAUUUUGUGAUAUUUCUAUGACAGAAAAUACAUUGAAGAACCCGAAAUAAAACUUUUUUGUUUUCUUAAUAUUUGUCCUUGUUAUAUUUUACUUAAUAUCAAUUUUAAUUAUUUUAUAAGUGAGGAUUUUUUUACAAAUACAAUAAUUUUAUACCAUGCUGUGGUUUACCCAAUAUUUAUUCUGUUCAUUGUAAUAACAAUUACUUCUCCAGUUAAUAAGAACGUCUUCCUGAAAUUUUUUGAUUAAGAGUUAUAUACAUACAUACGUAUAAAUGGCAAAUGUUAUGCUGUUAUUAAUAUUAAUGAUAUUUAUAUAGAAAAAUUUAAUAUUAAUCCCUUGACGUAUUUCCACGAGCCUGGCUCGUGGUACAACUUCUGUGCCUAACAUGAUUAUCACGAGCCUGGCUCGUGGUGUGUAGAAGUGUACAUUUGAUGAAGAGAAUUGAAAUUUUCCCGUUAUUUUCGGCAAAUAAUAUAAACAAAAAACAUUGCUUCAGUUGAGUGCAUUAUCUACUGCAGGUCAGUUUUAUAAUGAUCAUAUUAAAUCGUAGUAUUUUAUUUUAUGUAAAUUUGUAAAACAAGUGUUGCGACAGUUCGUAAGCAUCAAAACUGAU